GAAGGGGAAUGUGAGCCAGGCAGGAGAGGCUAAAGUGUCUGAGCCCUCCCUUCUGGCAGCUGUGCUGUGCUGAGCUCAUGCUGAUGCCGCUCCUGUCUCUGUAAUGGGUUUUUUAGCACUCUUCAGAGACCUGUGCUGGGCAGUGCCCUGGGCUGGAGCCAAGGAGUGGGAGAUCACUGGGAAGAGGUUGGUGCUGCCCAAGGUUUCCCUGAACUGUGUGGCAGGGUACCAAGUACCCAGCCUAGCAGCCAGUUUUAUAACAUCAAGAAGAAUGGAAAAGCUGCAAGGCAUGCCCACUCAAGACGCCGUGCUCCUGGAAAGUUUUGGAUGGGCUCCAGGCAAUGUUUGGUGGCAAAGAAAGAUGAAGGUCUUGGAAAGAAGAAGAAAUCAUCAGCUCAGCUCUCAUCUUGCAAUAUUCCUGUUUCUGUAAGUGGGGAAUGCUGCUGGAGCAUGAGAAGGACAGAAAAAAUACGUUCCUGCAAGGUCCCAUAUCUGAGGCUCAUCAAAUGCUCCCUGGUGGCACCAGGGCUCCGAGAAAGCCUAAAAGACUCGGUGGCUGUGUGCACUCUCAUCCCCUUCGGGURCCAACCCCCGGCAUCCCUCCUCCAACAACUUUGCUCUGUUGUGAUGGCUUUCCAACAUCUCCUCGCCCUCAGGCUCCUGCAGCUCCCUCAGCACUGCUCACUGCUUCUGACUCCACUCCCUGUCCUCCUUCCAAGYUGUCUUUGGGCCACCUCCACAUCUACAUUGCAGUGGCAGGGGACAAAAUCUCCCUGAUGCCUGGAAGUGAAAACACAGCCACGAAGGAACUUCCUGUGCUCUGUAUGCGAAAAUAUCUCCCCUGCUACAUGAAAAGAGAACUAAAUUGGCUUUUUAACCUGCUUUUCUUUCCUUCCUCCUCCCCUCGGUCUUUGCUGAGAUGAUAGAAGCAUUGAUCCAGCUUGCUCUGGUCAGCACGGCCACGUGCUGUGCUGUCAGUGUUCAGGUUGUCUGCAGAGCUCCUCUARGCCAGGAUCACAGGCCAGAUUAAACUGGGAAAAAAACCUUAUUUUUGGUGGGGGGGCAUUCUCAAGGUGUACAGGGACUUGUUAGUGACACAUGAUCUUGAGGCGAGCGGGCUUUGCUGGGAGAUUUUAUCUCUUUUUAUAGCUGGUGCAGGUGGAUUUUGCUGUGAUAAAAGCUGUGAACACCACACAAGUCAGACUGCUCCUUCCUGGCUUGCAAUAAUCAGCUUCCAGCUCUGAACCACCCCAAAGYAAUAGGGCUUGCUGCAAGAAUGGCAGAGGUCAGGCUCUGCUUGUGGGUGA